GACGAACGCUGGCGGCGUGCUUAACACAUGCAAGUCGAACGAAACGGCCCCUUUCGGGGGGUGCUGGAGCGGCGAACGGGUGAGUAACACGUGGGUAACCUGCCCCUGACUCUGGGACAACUCCAGGAAACUGGGGCUAAUACCGGAUAGGACCUCCUGCGGCAUGGCUGGGGUUGGAAAGUUUCGUCGGCUGGGGAUGGGCUCGCGGCCUAUCAGCUUGUUGGUGGGGUAGUGGCUUACCAAGGCGUGGACGGGUAGCCGGCCGGGGAGGGUGACCGGCCAGGCUGCGACGGGGAUGAGGCCCAGACCCGUACCGUACGGGAGAGAGGGGAGGAGUGCACUAUGGGUGGGGGGCUGGUGCAGCAACGCGACGUGCGGGGAGACGGGCUUCGGGUCGGAAACCGCAUCCCUUCAUGACGAAGCGUUGUGUGACGGUAGUUGGAGAAGAAGCACCGGCUAACUACGUG
rnacentral:rRNA from 1 species